AACAGGAUUAGAUACCCUGGUAGUCCACGCUGUAAACGAUGAAUACUAGGUGUGGGAGGACUGACCCCUUCCGUGCCGCAGUUAACACAAUAAGUAUUCCACCUGGGGAGUACGACCGCAAGGUUGAAACUCAAAGGAAUUGACGGGGGCCCGCACAAGCAGUGGAUUAUGUGGUUUAAUUCGACGCAACGCGAAGAACCUUACCAGGAUUUGACAUCCCAGGAACCCGGCGUAAUGGCUGGGGUGCCCUUCGGGGAAUCUGGAGACAGGUGGUGCAUGGUUGUCGUCAGCUCGUGUCGUGAGAUGUUGGGUUAAGUCCCGCAACGAGCGCAACCCUUAUGUUUAGUUGCUACGCAAGAGCACUCUAGACAGACUGCCGUUGACAAAACGGAGGAAGGCGGGGAUGACGUCAAAUCAUCAUGCCCCUUACAUUCUGGGCUACACACGUACUACAAUGGCGAAAACAAAGGGAAGCAAAACCGCGAGGUGGAGCAAACCCCAUAAAAGUCGUCCCAGUUCGGACUGCAGGCUGCAACCCGCCUGCACGAAGUUGGAAUUGCUAGUAAUCGCGGAUCAGCAUGCCGCGGUGAAUACGUUCCCGGGCUUUGUACACACCGCCCGUCAAACCAUGAAAGUUGAAAACACCCGAAGCCAGUGGGCUAACCGCAAGGAGGCAGCUGUCGAAAGUGGGUUCAAUGAUUGGGGUUAAGUCGUAACAAGGUAACC
rnacentral:rRNA from 1 species